GGGCAUAUGGUGUAGGGGUUAUCACGUUCGCUUUGCAUGGUUGCAUGCGAAAGGUCUCCGGUUCAAAUCCGGAUUUGUCCA